rnacentral:rRNA from 1 species
UACGUAGGGUGCGAGCGUUGUCCGGAAUUAUUGGGCGUAAAGAGCUUGUAGGCGGUCUGUCGCGUCUGCUGUGAAAAUCCGGGGCUCAACCCCGGACUUGCAGUGGGUACUGGCAGACUAGAGUGUGGUAGGGGAGACUGGAAUUCCUGGUGUAGCGGUGGAAUGCGUAGAGAUCCGGAGGAACACCAGCGGCGAAGGCGGCAUCCUGGACUGGUCCUGACACUCAUGAGCGAAAGCGUGGGGAGCGAUCCGG